UUGACAGCCCAGGAGACUGAAAUCUUCUUCAUCCAGGUCAGGUACCGCACAGGCAGCAGCAGUGCAAGCUUCCCCCUAGCAGUGCCUCGCCAAUGUCUCUCAACCCUGACCUGGAGGGACCACCUCUAAGGUUGAAAGGACAGCUCAGUCUGCAUAGCCCAUUCAGCUGAGAUUACC
rnacentral:sRNA from 1 species